AGUUGAAGACAUGAAAGUGAUGGAAGCUGAAGUGAAACAUCAAGUUUUGAAAAGUAGAGGAGAAGACGAACUACAGGUAUAUGAGUAAACAUUUUAAAAAUUAGUUCAAGAACUUAUAAAUAAUGUUGUGUUGUUUAGAGAGAUAUUGGUUGUAUACAGUACAAUAACAGGGGUGUAUGUAGUUAAGAGUAGGUUUCUUGUUUCUCUACCCCCGGUUGUGCAAGGAUCAUUUUCUCCCCUAUCCAGGAGCAGUCAGAA
rnacentral:lncRNA from 1 species